UGCCUGGUCACUGUUCUGCUCGCAGAAGGACUAGGGAACAUCAGGGGAAGCGGAGUGCCACAAGAACAGUCAACAAAUGCUAAAAUUUUAUUACACGAACAAUAUGACCUGUUUCAGAGGCAUAUUUGAACAGGAAUUGGAAAUUUCUUGCAUAACUGAUGGAGAUGUUGUUUUGGCUAUAUAAACUGCCAUUCCAGUCAGAGAAGAGCUGGCUUGCAGAAGACAUUCUUCGAUGUCAUUUGUCUAACACUAAAAAAACGAAGUUAUUGUAUCACCUACCAGAUCUGGAUUGCAGUUCUGGCUGCUCCAUGUUAUUAAACACACUGCUUGUGGCAAUAUGUAAUGACACAUAUCAGCAUAAACAAAGGAAUAAAAACUGUAUCACGUGAGAUCUCUGAAGGAGCUGAGACAGUUUCCUAAGCGAGUAUUUCUUCAAUUAUCUCGGUUCCCUCCCCUUUUCUUCUGCUCUGCAAUUGAGUGAUUUGAAUUCAAAUACGUGCUGGCACAAAGUUGGUGGGACUUGAAUAAAUCAUCUGUCUUGUUGCCUGAAAAUAUACAUCCUCCUCCUUUAGAGAAAUGACUUGGGAAGCAAUUGCAUACUGUAGCCAGUGUUAUCCUCUGUCCCAUAUAUUCUUUCUGACCCAGCACAGAUUUCACCUGCUAACAGUUUUCUUUCUGUCUGCACAAUUCUUUCUGAAGGAAGAGCAGUGGGUGAAGUAUAUCUGUUCUUGGAGAUCCUCAAAAGCUGAGCUUCUAGAAUUGGGGAAGUUACACUGGUCAAGUUGUUCUUCACAUGCCUGUUAGUUGUAGCAGUACAGAAGAUGUAUUUUACUACACCUUAGGUUUUAUUAAAGGGAAACUGGAUGUAAUCUGUUCUGCUCCUGUACAGUUAUUUGCCUUCCUGCCUGCCUGUCUUCCUUCUCUCUGUCUCUCUUUUUCUGUGUGUGUGAAUGUGUGUGUGUGUGUGUGUGUGUUUACAAAUGCAAAGGCAGUAAGUAGCAUACCUGCUACUGCAAUGGAUUUUUUUUCCUUUAGCUCUGCAUAAUUUCUGCAGCAUGUAUAUAAGUGGAAUUGAGCUUAAGAGCACUUAGAAUUCAACUAGCUGUUUCUAUAUUUAAUAAAUAAUAACCCUGCCACGAAAUUGUAAUUGGCAUUAAAAAGUCCUGCAAUUCAUCUGACAA